rnacentral:rRNA from 1 species
GGCCUGAAGGCGAGAGUUUUUAGGUCUGGCCUGCCCAAUGAGAUGUUUAAUGGCUGCGGUAUUUUGACCGUGCAAAGGUAGCAUAAUCAUUAGUUUUUUAAUUGAAAGCUUGUAUGAAAGGUUUGAUGGAAAAAUAUCUGUCUCUAUGGAAGUUAAUUAGAAUUUUAUUUCUAAGUCAAAAAGCUUAGAUAAAUGUAGAAGACGAGAAGACCCUAUAGAGUUUUAUAUCUAGUAGAGAUAAGGGUUUUGAGUAAAUAAAAUUUUUAUUUUGAAGGGGUAUUUUGUUGGGGUGACAGAAAAAUUUGUUUAACUUUUUUUUUAUAAAGACAUGAAUGAAUGGGUUUUUGAUCCUUAUUUAAAGAUUAAAAGAAAAAACUACCUUAGGGAUAACAGCGUUAUUUUUUUUAGAGUUCUUAUCGAAUAAAAAGAUUGCGACCUCGAUGUUGGAUUAAAAUGAAUUACUGGUGUAGCAGCUAGGUGAUUAGGUCUGUUCGACCUUUAAAAUUUUACAUGA